rnacentral:lncRNA from 1 species
UGACAGUGGAUAAUCAUAAACUUGAGCAAGUGAUGACUCUAACUGCAGCUGUUGUACUAGAUAUGGUUUUAUUGCUUGAGCAACUCUUUAGGCCUUAAUGAUUGACAUGAUCUUGGAAAACAGUUAGGUAUGUAGCAAAACUCUCCUAGAAACCUGAAAGAUGUGGCAAGAAGAAAACAUGGAGCCUUUUCUGAACAAGCCUAUGAGAGAAGAAGAAUCACUUCAAUUUAUAAGUGUGGAUUCUGGGGCUAAAGAACUUACAUACAACCACACAGCCAGCAAAUUACUGACCCAGCAUAUUCUGAACCCAGGUCUUUAUUCUUUCCAAGACUUCACAGCGCCUUC